rnacentral:lncRNA from 1 species
CGCUGGGAUCAUCCCUGGCAUUUGAGGAAGUAAAUCCUAUGAGGAGAGACUGAGCCAAAGCCACUGCAGGAUGCUUAUGGCCCUGUCUUGGGAUGUGGGAAAGCUGGAAUCAUGGCCUUGCUUCGAAUCAAGAGGAACGGGGAUUUGAGAACUGGGCUCUUGUUUCCAAGGAAACUGGCUGGCCUAAACUCACAAGCAAGAUAGAUGG